GAGGAGUCCGCGGCCGAUUACGCUAGUUGGUAGGGUAAAAGCCUACCAAGGCUAAGAUCGGUAGCCGGCCUGAGAGGGCACACGGCCACACUGGCACUGAAACACGGGCCAGACUCCUACGGGAGGCAGCAGUGGGGAAUCUUGCACAAUGGGGGAAACCCUGAUGCAGCGACGCCGCGUGAGCGAUGAAGCCCUUCGGGGUGUAAAGCUCUUUCGGCAGGGAAGAUUAUGACGGUACCUGCAGAAGCAGCUGCGGCUAACUACGUGCCAGCAGCCGCGGUAAUACGUAGGCAGCAAGCGUUGUUCGGAGUUACUGGGCGUAAAGGGUGUGUAGGCGGUUCUCUAAGUCUGGUGUGAAAUCUCCCGGCUCAACUGGGAGGGUGCGCCGGAAACUGGAGGGCUAGAGUGCGGGAUGGGAAAGUGGAAUUCCUGGUGUAGCGGUGAAAUGCGUAGAUAUCAGGAGG
rnacentral:rRNA from 1 species